GAAAAAGAGGGGAUCAAAGACUCCCGGUGAUGUACGCCCGAAGGCCACCAGGUGACGGAUUCUGACCUUAUCACAGAGAGAGGAUGGAUUCCGGGGCAAUCCGAUUCAAGUCCGAGUCCACUCCGAUUUCCCAAUCCCUGUCUUGCAGCAGCAGCUCUCGGGUCCUGGAAGCGCGGAGCCUCUGUGGCCUUGAGCCCCGAGGGCAUGGCCCUGUGAUGUCACAAGGUGGCGUGACAGCCAGGACGAACCCCGACCCCCAGCGCGGCAUCCUUCCCGCGGCCAGCGACCACCGCCUCCCGGGAAGGUGGCUGACCACAGCCGCAAGCCGCUGCGCGCCCGGCAAGCCGAAUGGAAGGACGGCGCGGGCAAACGAACGCCCAGUGAGGCCCAGAGAAGAGAGGGACCUUCCGAGGGUCUUCUAGUCGAUCUCGGACAGGCUUUUGAGUGCCUUUUAAGCAUUCCAAAAUGUUCAGGAGACAACAGUAAUUUACAAAAUAGAGUAGAAUU
rnacentral:antisense_RNA from 1 species